rnacentral:rRNA from 1 species
GAUGAACGCUGGCGGCGUGCCUAACACAUGCAAGUCGAACGCGAGACCUUUUGCUUGCAAGAGGUUGAGAGUGGCGAACGGGUGAGUAACACGUUGGUGACCUGCCCCGAGGAGGGGGACAACUGUGGGAAACCACAGCUAAUACCCCGGAUGUUGAAGAGUUUAGACGCCUUCAACUAAAGUUUCGGCGCCUCGGGAGGGGCCUGCGGGCUAUCAGCUAGUUGGUGAGGUAAGAGCUCACCAAGGCAAAGACGGCUAGGGGGCGUAAGAGCGCGACCCCCCACAAUGGAACUGAGACACGGUCCAUACUCCUACGGGUGGCAG